rnacentral:lncRNA from 1 species
UUCUUUGUAAUCCUAUUUAUUUUAUGUUCUUAAAAAAGUUAUUUUUUUUUAUUUCAUUAAGACUUUAUUGCAGUGGAAAAUGGAGCAGCCCCUCAACUGGAGCCAUCCUUGUCAUGGCCUAGGAGGUGGGGGAGGGAGAGAUGCCAGUGAAGAUGUGUCUCUGGGGGAUACUCUGAUCCCUGAGGUUCAAGCCUAAGGACUGGAAAGUGAUCCCAUCCCCAGGCAGUUGGAGGGCCAGAAAUGGCCAGAGCCACAUGAGGGCCCAGUGGGAGCCCAGGGUCCACCAGGGGCCCAGGUCAUAGAGGGGCUGGCCAUGGCCCCACUUCAGGUGGUCUGGCCCCACAGCAGCAGCAUCCCAUGGAAAAGCAGCCCAUCCAACAAAGAAGAGGUCCAUAGGCUUCACCAUACUGCCAAAGGGGAUCCAUGAGACAAUAAAAUGUUAAUAAUCCC